rnacentral:tRNA from 1 species
GGGGUUGUGGCUCAGAGGUAGAGCACUCACCUAGCAUGCGUGAGGCACAGGGUUCGAUCCUCAACACCA